CCCUACGGGUACCUGCUACUGGCAUGUUUGAGUCAUCACUUCCCUGUGGCAGGCUCCUGCUUUCCAUCUGCCACUGGGUUCUGGGGGCACCAGCCGGCAGUUGGUCAGCAGCAAGGCCCCGGGUAGCAGAGCUGUUUCCUUGCAAGUCUGAGCAGGACUUUUUGUUGACUUUGCACCUGAACAGACGCAAUUCGAGAGGCCACACGCAGGUUGGCGUUCUCCUUUGGCCUCUGUCGCGCUGCCCGGUCAGGUCAGAGCAGCUGGGCCGCCAGCCAGGCCAGGUCACUGUGGGGAGCCCCCAUGGGCUUGCCAGAGCCUGCCCUGGGCUCAGCGUCUGGAUGGCAGAGCUCUUCAGGAGCCAGGUGACGACUUUGAAGCACCAUGCACAUCAUUUCUGGGGUCUGGAGUUGUAAAGGCCGCAGGGACCCCUGUUCUUUUUUUUUCUUUUAGACGGAGUCUCGGUCUGUCAUCCAGGCUGGAGUACAAUGGUGUGAUCUUGACUCACUGCAACUUCUGCCUCCCAGGUUCAAGUAAUUCUCCUGCCUCAGCCUUCCGAGUAGCUGGGAUUACACACACCUGCCAUUAUGCCUGGCUAAUUUUUGUAUUUUUAGUAGAGAUGGGGGUUUCACCAUAUUGGCCAGACUGGUCUCGAACUCCUGACCUUGUGAUCCGCCCGCCUUGGCCUCUCAAAGUGCUGGGAUUACAGGCGUGAGCCACUGUGCCCGGCCAAGGGUCCCCGGUUCUGAAAGUGGAAGGGGUGCGGCUGCCUCAGGAGUCACCACGGCAACAAGAACCUGGACCUGAGCCCAGGUGGUCAGAUUCUGGGGCCAGCAGCUUUUUGGUUUUUAGAGAUGAGGUCUCACUCUGUUGCCCAGGCUGGNNNNNNNNNNNNNNNNNNNNNNNNNNNNNNNNNNNNNNNNNNNNNNNNNNNNNNNNNNNNNNNNNNNNNNNNNNNNNNNNNNNNNNNNNNNNNNNNNNNGCGGUCUGAAUAUUUACUAGGCAAAAUAUAAGUACUAAUGAUUUACUGUAUUAUUUAUUUACUUUUUACUUGACCCUCAGAGAUAAAAAUUAUUUAAUUACACAUAUUUUAUACAUCUAAUACUUUAAAAUAUCAGACCAAAAUUUUCUUCUUGAGAUAAGUUAUGUUUCCUAGUUUCAGAGAAAAAAAAUUCAGAGACAAAAAUGUAAUCUUUACAUCUAUUUAGAUGUUUAGAUUUUUAACUUCUACAUGCAAUAUCUCAAUCUUAUACUAAUAAGGGAUUGGUAGAGGCAGGAAAAAUUAUAUAAAACCUUUUUUUUUUUUUUUUGAGAUGGAGUCUCACUCUGUGGCCCAGGCUGGAGUGCCGUGGUGCCAUCUCAGCUCUCUGCAAACUUCGCCUCCCAGGUUCAAGCGAUUCUCAUUCCUCAGCCUCCCUAGUAGCUGGGAUUACCGGUGCCCACCACCACACCAGGCUGAUUUUUGUAUUUUUAAUAGAGAUGGGGUUUCACCAUGGUGGCCAGGCUGGUCUCCAACUACUGGCUGGUCUCAGGUGAUCUGCCCACCUUGACCUCCCAAAUGGUUGGGAUUACAGGCGUGAGCCACCACACCCGGCAUAUGAAACAAUUUUUAAAAUUACUGGGUAUCUUAGAUUAGAGUAGGAGUAUGUUAAAUCACCUUUAAGACAUGGAAUAGCUUUUUUUUUGUGGGGGGGAGGUGGGGGAUGGAGUUUCACUCUUCUUGUCCAGGCUGGAGUGCAAUGGCGUGAUCUCGGCUCACCACAACCUCUGCCUCCUGGGUUCAAGUGAUUCAAGUGCCUCAGCCUCUCAAGUAGCUGAGAUUACAGGUGCGUGCCACGACAUCUGGCAAAUUUUUUGUAUUUUUAGUAGAGAUGGGGUUUUGCUAUGUUGCCCAGGCUGGUCUUGAACUCCUGACCUCAAGUGAUCCGCUUGGCCUCCCAACGUGCUGGGAUUACAGGUGUAAGCCACCGUGCCCGGCCAACCACAGUACUUUCUGUUGUUUCUGUGUGAGUGAUUUUUUUCUAUUUUUUUUUUUUUUUUAAGGAAUAAGUUGCAUAUAGUAAAAUGGACUCUUCUUAGUGGAACUUUCUGUAAGUGUUGACAGAUGCAUGUGGUUGGACACUCAUCACAGCAAUCAAGACACUGAAUAGCCCCACCAUGCCCACGUCGCCCAUGCCCCUUUCUAGUCAACCCCUUCCCCUGCCCCAGCAACCAGUGAUCUAUUUUGUCUCUAUAGUUUUGCCUUUUUUUAGCCAAAAUAUUCUUUUUCUAGAAUGUCACAAAAAUGGAGUCACAGAGCUUACAGUCUUUUGCGUCUGAGUUCUUUCCCUUAGCUUGAUGCAUUUGAGACUGGUCCACGGCACUGCCCCUAUCAAAGGUUCAUGUCUGUUUGCUGCUCAGCGGUGCUGUGUGGCAGGGACCCCACGGUUUC
rnacentral:lncRNA from 1 species